rnacentral:rRNA from 1 species
UCAGCCUGCUAAAUAGUCACUGUCGCUCCGGCGGCUGGCCGACUUCUUAGAGGGACUAUUGGCGUUUAGCCAAUGGAAGUAUGAGGCAAUAACAGGUCUGUGAUGCCCUUAGAUGUUCUGGGCCGCACGCGCGCUACACUGACGCGUUCAACAAGCCUAUCCUUGACCGAGAGGUCCGGGUAAUCUUUGAAAACGCGUCGUGAUGGGGAUAGAUCAUUGCAAUUAUUGGUCUUCAACGAGGAAUGCCUAGUAAGCGCGAGUCAUCAGCUCGCGUUGAUUACGUCCCUGCCCUUUGUACACACCGCCCGUCGCUCCUACCGAUUGGGUGUGCUGGUGAAGUGUUCGGAUUGGCGAGAGGCGGUGGCAACACUGCUUCCUGCCGAGAAGUUCAUUAAACCCUCCCACCUAGAGGAAGGAGAAGUCGUAACAAGGUUUCCGUAGUGAACCUGCAGA